rnacentral:rRNA from 1 species
UACGUAGGGUGCGAGCGUUAAUCGGAAUUACUGGGCGUAAAGCGUGCGCAGGCGGUUUUGUAAGCCAGAUGUGAAAUCCCCGGGCUUAACCUGGGAAUGGCAUUUGGGACUGCAAGGCUUGAGUGCGGCAGAGGAGAACUGGAAUUCCUGGUGUAGCAGUGAAAUGCGUAGAUAUCAGGAGGAACACCGAUGGCGAAGGCAGGUCUCUGGGCUG